rnacentral:lncRNA from 1 species
UGAACAUACAUAUACUACGAAUAAAGUGUAUUUUCUAUCUGCUAUCUUUUUUUAAGUUUACUAUCCACGGCGGUCACAGAGUUAACUCAAAAGAGAGAGAGUCUGUAUAAUAUAGAAAUGACCGCCGUGGAUCGAUAAAUAACCUGAGAAUUGAAAGUAAAAAGCAAAUACACUUUAUUUAUAGUAAUGAAUGUUCAGCGCUAAAAGUAUGCAUGUGUUAUUAAUGUUAAUAGAAAUAAAAAAAAAAUGGAAUUUUU